rnacentral:rRNA from 1 species
AUUGAACGCUGGCGGCAGGCCUAACACAUGCAAGUCGAACGGUAACAGGAAGCAGCUUGCUGCUUCGCUGACGAGUGGCGGACGGGUGAGUAAUGUCUGGGAAGCUGCCUGAUGGAGGGGGAUAACUACUGGAAACGGUAGCUAAUACCGCAUAAUGUCGCAAGACCAAAGAGGGGGACCUUCGGGCCUCUUGCCAUCGGAUGUGCCCAGAUGGGAUUAGCUUGUUGGUGGGGUAACGGCUCACCAAGGCGACGAUCCCUAGCUGGUCUGAGAGGAUGACCAGCCACACUGGGAAUGAGACACGGUCCAGACUCCUACGGGAGGCAGCAGUGGGGAAUAUUGCACAAUGGGCGCAAGCCUGAUGCAGCCAUGCCGCGUGUAUGAAGAAGGCCUUCGGGUUGUAAAGUACUUUCAGCGGGGAGGAAGGGAGUAAAGUUAAUACCUUUGCUCAUUGACGUUACCCGCAGAAGAAGCACCGGCUAACUCCGUG